UAGGCACAAUUCUACAAAGGAGAGAAAGGA
rnacentral:piRNA from 2 species